CACUCCUUUUCGUUUGCUAAUAUUUGUUUCUAGAAAAUAUAGGAAAUGAAUAAGGAGAAU
rnacentral:pre_miRNA from 1 species